AUUGAACGCUGGCGGCAGGCCUAACACAUGCAAGUCGAGCGGAGCGGCGGACGGGUGAGUAAUGCAUAGGAAUCUGAAUGGUAGUGGGGGAUAAAGUCCGGAAACGGGAACGAAUGCCGCAUACUAUCAGAUGAGCCUAGGUCGGAUUAGCGAGUUGGUGGGGUAAAGGCAUACAAAGGCGACGAUCCGUAACUGGUCUGAGAGGAGGAGCAGUCACACUGGAACUGAGACACGGUCCAGACUCCUACGGGAGGCAGCAGUGGGGAAUAUGGGACAAUGGGCGAAAGCCUGAUCCAGCCAUGCCGCGUGUGUGAAGAAGGUCUUCGGAUUGUAAAGCACUUUAAGUUGGGAGGCGUUACCAACAGAAGAAGCACCGGCUAACUUCGUGCCAGCAGCCGCGGUAAUAC
rnacentral:rRNA from 1 species